ACAGGGAUUGCCCCAGUAACGGCGAGUGAAGCGGCAACAGCCCAAAUUUGAAAUCCGGCUCCCCGCGGGCCCGAGUUGUAAUUUGCAGAGGAUGCUUUUGGCAAGGUGCCCUCCGAGUCCCCUGGAACGGGGCGCCGCAGAGGGUGAGAGCCCCGUACGGUCCGGCACCGCGCCUGCCUGUAAAGCUCCCUCGACGAGUCGAGUAGUUUGGGAAUGCUGCUCAAAACGGGAGGUAAACUCCUUCUAAGGCUAAAUACCGGCCAGAGACCGAUAGCGCACAAGUAGAGUGAUCGAAAGAUGAAAAGCACUUUGGAAAGAGAGUUAAACAGCACGUGAAAUUGUUGAAAGGGAAGCGCUUGCGGCCAGACUUGCGGCGGGCGGCUCAGCAGCGCCUCGUGCGCUGUGCACUCUGCCCGCCACAGGCCAGCAUCGGUUCCCGUCGGGGGACAAGUGCGGGGGGAACGUGGCUCUUCGGAGCGUUAUAGCCCCCCGCUACGCCCCGCCGGGGACCGAGGCUCGCGCCCUGUGCAAGGAUGCUGGCGUAAUGGCCGCCAGCGACCCGUCUUGAAACACGGACCAAGGAGUCAUCCUAGCAUGCGAGUGUCUGGGUGCCAAACCCUCACGCGAAAUGAAAGUGAACGGAGGUGAGAGCUUCGGCGCAUCAUCGACCGAUCCUGAUGUCUUCGGAUGGAUUUGAGUAGGAGCAUGCUGGGCUGGACCCGAAAGAAGGUGAACUAUGCUUGGAUAGGGUAAAGCCAGAGGAAACUCUGGUGGAGGCUCGCAGCGGUUCUGACGUGCAAAUCGAUCGUCAAAUCUGAGCAUGGGGGCGAAAGACUAAUCGAACCUUUUAGUAGCUGGUUUCCGCCGAAGUUUCCCUCAGGAUAGCAGUGCUGGUCUCAGUUUUAUGAGGUAAAGCGAAUGAUUAGGGACUCGGGGGCGCUUAUUAGCCUUCAUCCAUUCUCAAACUUUAAAUAUGUAAGAAGCCCUCGUUGCUUCGGUGAACGGGG
rnacentral:rRNA from 1 species